CUUCUCUUCCUGAUUUUUCUCUCUCCCUUUCUUCCAAUCCCCUAUUUUUGUUUCUCUGUGCCUGGAAAGUGUUUGAUGAAAAUCCAAUAAGGCUGGAAGGGCAGUAUUAAUCUAUGUUAGUCAUCUGAUUUCUUUUUUCUAUUAUUUAGUUCCAGUAGAAAAUAACAAGUUGAGUAGACCGACUAGCUUUUUGCAUUCUUUUUUCUAUUAUUUAGUUCCAGUAGAAAAUAACAAGUUGAGUAGACUGACUAGCUUUUUGCAAUUUAGGUAUUGAAGAAGAUCAUCAUGACUGCUUUUUCUUUCAUGCAAUAGUUCAGGUUUAUUGUUCUUAGUUUUUCUGUAGUGGUUAAUUUGAUUGCUAUGGAUUAAAAUCUAGAGCUACCUUAUAAUACUGCUUGAAAAUAGCUUUGGCUCUUCACACAUGGGAGUAAUAGGACAGUUUGCGUUCCUAAUUUUCUUUUCUCUGUAUAUGUACAUAGUUUUCAGAUUCUAAUUGUUUGCUACUGAAGCUUAUCUUUUUCUUUUUCGGAAUUGGGUGCGUAUGAACAAUGCAACGGAGGUUAUGUUAAUUCCUAGAGUCUUAUAUGUUCUUUUGUCUCCUGGUGAUUACUUUGAAUGGCUGUGUGAGGAACACAGGUUGCAAUUCCAGUUUCAUCGACGGACUCGCUCGCUGCUCUAGAAGAUGGUCCCUGUUAAGUUAAUUCGAGGUGGGUAAGGUUUGAAUCUCUAUAAGACUCACAGUCAGGUACGACUGGAGGCAUAUUAUGUAAGUGCAUGUCUACUGUUAUGAGGUUUCAGUUUUCGACUCUAUGCAAUUCUCGGUGCAAGGGCCCCCGCUUCCUUGUUGUGACGUUGCAGCCUCACCGGCCCUUCUGCAGGCAAGAGUUAUGUCCAGAUGAGCUAACCCUUUACUAUCCAAACCUUCUGAAGGUCAUUAGCUCUGAUUCUUUGGAAAAAAGGUUGAGAGCUAUACACAACAACGCUAAAGAUGGAGCGGCCUGCCAUGUAUUAGGGCAUACACAUUUCUGUUGGGAUUAUGCGGUUGACAAUAUCAGGUAUGUACAAGCGCCUCUGGCAUACCCUCGAGAAAGAAAGCGAAGGAUAAAUGGAGGCCAAGGAUGGCUGCCGUUUUUUGUAUAUUGUGAUGGCUUCAACCCUGAAACAAGAAUAGAAGGGAGCCUGAGAACACUCAGCUUGCGCCAUGGCAGUCUGACUAUUACAACAAGACAGAAGAGAGCCGGAGAACACUCAGCUUGCACUGUGGGUUGCCAAAUAUUUUUCAAUAUACUAUGGACCCCCUGUGUUUGCUCGAGUGUAUUGUACACCAAAAUCAUGAGAGCUCCACACAUAAAUUUUGCCCAGACUUACUAUGUUCCUUCAAGUGUAAGCAUUUGAAAUUCUUGAUGCAUUUGAGACGGUGGAAACGAGAGAAGCUGGGAUCGUAGCACUGACCAUGACUGUGAUUGCUAGAGCUCUAAGAGAUAGACGGAGGUCUCAACUGGCUGGGAAGAUUUGACAAGAGAUGUGGAGAUGGGGCACGGGGAGGGGAGGACGAGUCGGCCUGGAGGCCCCGGUUGUGGCUUCAACUAGGCAGGCUUGGGACUCGCGGUGGCGGGCGGCCUCACGCUGGAGCUGGUCCUGGCGGGCGGCCUCGGCCUCGUCCACACGGACUUCUCCUGGUUGUCGAACCGGUUGAGGUUGCAGCUCUUCUUCUCCGUAUCAGUGUCGCCGUCAUUUUUUCUUUUGCAUGCGUCGCUUCGGCCGGCUUUGCUUUCCAUGUCCUCGUGCUCUUUGAUUUUCUUGUUCUCGCUUCUCUUUAUCUUGUUGCUGCAGGGUCAUCCAACUUCUUGUUUAUCAGGUUACUGUUUGAUAAAAUGCAAGAUAUUUCUGUUUGGAAGGGUUUCCUGACAUACGGACCGGUCAUACUUUUGCAAGAUACAUGCGAGGAUUGUUGUGUCCAACCUGCACAAGAAUGCCAAGAAGUCCUCGGAGACGUAAGCCAUGAUCUGCUGCACCACCAAUGGACUGGAGGCCUGGACAGGACGUAAUGCUGAGUUUCUUCAGCACCGGCGGAGAACUUGCCAUGUUGCUAUUGGCGAGGUUGAUACAUUCUAUGCCCUCGCAACACCCCACACGGAGAUUCUUAAGAGAGGAUGGUAAUAUCACUACCCUCCGCGAAAUCCAACUUAAAAUGACAACCUAUAAUUAGCAGAUCUUUCAACCCCUCGAGCCUAUCAACACAGAGGGACAUUAACUCUCCACAAAAGAAAACCCAAAUGGUCUUCACGCCAGGACUUUGCGAACCGGACCAAUCUAGGCAGAGUUUCCCAGAGUGGUCCUUGUUAUAAGCAAAACCCUUUGAAUUGAUUUUCUGUAAACUGAGGGAAUCACUGAAGUCUGGGGGAAACCUUUCAAUCAAGCAACUGCCACACUCUACCUUUUUGAGACGAUGCAAACGACAAACUGACGAAGGAAAUGUGCAGGAAGUUGGACUUCCAAGAAAACGAAGGUAACACAGAUGCUUUGAGUUGCCCAUGCUCUCUGGUAGCUGUACCGCGCCGGAAAGUUUAAUACUCAGUACACGGAUUUUCAGCAGUUCCUUGAACCAACAUUUUACACGGGCUCAAAAUCUUCUGCACUGCUAUAUGAUUCAUCACAUACCAGGGACCUCAACUUUUUCUUGUUGCAUAUGCUCUUCAAUUCAGAACACUGAGCUUCUCCUUUCGUGAAUAUGGACAGAUGGCGGACAUUUGAAGGAACAUUAUCAAGGUCACUCGCAUGCUUUAUAAUGAAGCACUCAUCAGUUGAGACUAGUUGUGCCGUAUCAUGCAUCAGAUCAUGAAUUACAUACUCAUCAGUUGAGACUAGUUGUGCCAUAUCAUGCAUCAGAUCAUGAAUUACAUGCUCAUCAAUAUGUGGCGAUGCUCUCUGAAAGAAUGAACGAUUUGCAAGGGCAUCAAAGCACAUUGAUGCUUCUUGGGGCCCCUCCACAUAUCCCUGUGCAAUCCAAAUAUCAGCUAGAAAAUCCCUCCCAAAUUUGUGAUCCUUGGGAAACAUUGCUCAGAUUGAGAAGCAUACCCAUUGAAUAUGGCGAAAGCCAUGGCCACAACUGAGCACUGUUGAAAUCGAUCGUAUAAAACAACAUUAAGCUAUCGAAAACAGGUAAUCAUCUAGAAAGGCGAGAGACACAACAUGAAGUUGUAGUUACCUUGUUUAUUUGCCGAUUUGAUGGCUGCUUGUUAGUGGAGAGAUGCUUCUUGUUCAGAGUGGUUGGUCAGUGAGUGACUAGAUAGAUACCCAGCUCUCUGGCCAAAACAAAGGCAAUGACGAUGGGGGGUGCUGCUGAUCUCAGAUGCCUUCUGAUGUAGUUUUGCAGUUAUGCUCUCGCGAAGGGCAGACUUAUCAUGUCUGAAGUGGCAAGUAUUAUAGAAAGGUGUAAGAACGAAAGAGCAACAAUAUAUAUUGUAUAUUUAUUGAAGCGAAGUAUUCCUUUU